CCUACGGGAGGCAGCAGUGGGGAAUCUUGCGCAAUGGGCGAAAGCCUGACGCAGCCAUGCCGCGUGGAUGAUGAAGGUCUUAGGAUUGUAAAAUCCUUUCACCGGGGACGAUAAUGACGGUACCCGGAGAAGAAGCCCCGGCUAACUUCGUGCCAGCAGCCGCGGUAAUA
rnacentral:rRNA from 1 species